rnacentral:rRNA from 1 species
AUGCCGCGUGCAGGAAGACUGCCCUAUGGGUUGUAAACUGCUUUUAUAUAGGAAGAAACCUACUUACGUGUAAGUAGCUGACGGUACUAUAAGAAUAAGGAUCGGCUAACUCCGUGCCAGCAGCCGCGGUAAUACGGAGGAUCCAAGCGUUAUCCGGAAUCAUUGGGUUUAAAGGGUCCGUAGGUGGAUAAUUAAGUCAGAGGUGAAAUCAUGCAGCUCAACUGUAAAAUUGCCUUUGAUACUGGUUAUCUUGAGUUAUUAUGAAGUAGUUAGAAUAUGUAGUGUAGCGGUGAAAUGCAUAGAUAUUACAUAGAAUACCAAUUGCGAAGGCAGAUUACUAAUAAUCAACUGACACUGAUGGACGAAAGCGUGGGUAGCGAACAGGAUUAGAUACCCUGGUAGUCCACGCCGUAAACGAUGGUUACUAGCUGUUUGGACCUUGUGUCUGAGUGGCUAAGCGAAAGUGAUAAGUAACCCACCUGGGGAGUACGUUCGCAAGAAUGAAACUCAAAGGAAUUGACGGGGGCCCGCACAAGCGGUGGAGCAUGUGGUUUAAUUCGAUGAUACGCGAGGAACCUUACCAGGGCUUAAAUGUAAGUUGCAUUAGUUAGAGAUAGCUAUUUCUUCGGACCACUUACAAGGUGCUGCAUGGUUGUCGUCAGCUCGUGCCGUGAGGUGUCAGGUUAAGUCCUAUAACGAGCGCAACCCCUGUUGUUAGUUGCCAGCGAGUCAUGUCGGGAACUCUAACAAGACUGCCGGUGCAAACCGUGAGGAAGGUGGGGAUGACGUCAAAUCAUCACGGCCCUUACGUCCUGGGCUACACACGUGCUACA